CAGCGAGGCUGAUAUGUGCUGAUAUUAAUACCGAUCGAACCAGUCAGGAGCGCGGGAGGUUUCAACAUACACAUGUUAAUAAUUAUGCUCCCUUACACGCAGAUGCUAUUCUCUGGAUAUCUUAAAAAGUGCCUAUGGAUAAUGAAUGAGGUGUCAUUAUCCUGUCACGUACAUUUGCUAAUAUAGUGAGUCAGUGGAGAAGUCUCACAGAGCCACAUACAGACUGGGCAUUCGGAACUUUUCUACAGGACAGGAGAGUCCCAUCCGUCAUGUCCUCAUCUGUGUGCAGAUGAACUCCGUCAUUAUGGCCCCCGGGCUUAUACGGCAUAUACGCAGCACUUGUUUUCAGGCCCUUCGUUAAUAUGUAUGUUGUCAGUAUUUUGGCUAAUAUCUUAGAGGGCUAUUUCAGCCAAAAACAAAAGUUCUUUCAUUGUGUUGUCAGACAUGGAUAUGAUGUUUUUUUUUUUUACAAAAAUUAGUGGGUAAGUGCAUAUUAGUGGGUUUGAAAACAGCAUAUGCUGGUUGGUAGUUUUUGAUGCUGGUUUAAGUUGGUCAUGCUGCUGAUCAAGGACCAUCUUAAACCAGCAUCAAAACAUGCCUACCUACCAGCAUAUGCUGUUUUUUUCACCAGGGAUAGGGCAGAAGUUGUCAGCUUCAUUGCUGCAUUGCUUUAAAUUACUUUUUUGAGGAGAAACGUUCCAAAACGAUCCAUUCGUUCAGAUCUGUGACUGGAGCACACAGAUGUUUUUGGGAGAGGUGCAGCUUCAUUCUGAACAUCAUUUGGAUUGCGAGUAGAAACGGCUCCAGCAUCACUGAGUAACGUGUUGUGUUGCGCUUUAUUAUGUGCAGAGGUGCGUCGUACCGUACGUGGUGGGUUUGUGUUUGUGGCGUAAACAGGAAAGAGAGACACACACUAGAACAGGAAACCUGGUGAGUUGUGAUGCAUGUGACAGAUAGUAGACGCUUUGUUUACUCACAUGAAACGAUAGUGAGACCUGCAGCAGCUCCAGCACACGCUAUACCUGCGUGUGCGUGAUUUCUAACCCUUCAGUGAAAGCGUGUAGUAAGGGAACGUUGGAUCUGGAGACACAGAAAAGAAAGGCUGAAUUCAUUCUUCAUGUGAUCUUUACUGAGUCCCCCAGCAACCAUCUGUCUCAGGAGGUGGACGCACAGCAGACAAACUCACAGUCUGCCAUGAAACAAGCGCUCGGAUCUGCGGCACAAAGAAGGAAAGAGCAGACGCUUCGCUCCGAACGCAAACUGGACUGCAGAUCCGCAGAUGGACAACUUAUAUAAACACAGGGAAUAAAAGCAAACUACACAUCACCAUUGAAAACUUUGGGGUGAGUAAGAUUUUUUAUUGUUUUUUAAAAGAAGAAUCUCCUGUUCACCAAGGCUGCAUUUAUUUGAUCAAAAUAGUGAACUAUUGUUCCAGUCUAAAAUAUCAGUUGUUGAUCUGAAUCUAUGUUAAACUGUAAUUGAUUUCUGUGAUGUGAAUCUGAAUUUUCAGCAUCAUUACUCCAGUCUUCAGUGUCACAUGAUCCUUCAGAAAUCAUUCUAAUAUGCUGAUUGGCUGCUCAACAAACAUUUCUGAUUAUUAGCAAUGCUGAAAACAGUGGUGCUGCCCAAUAUUUUUGUGGAAACCGUGAUACAUUUUAUUUUUCAGGAUUCACAGAUGAAUAGGAAGUUCAAAAGAAAAGCAUUUAUUUGAAAUAGAAAUGUUUUCACUGACACGUUUGUAUGAUUUUUAAUGCAUCCUUGCCAAAAAAAAAAGAAAAAGAAAAAGAACAGUGACAUGAAUCUGGUUCGGUUGCUAAGGCUGCAAACGUGAACAUGUUAAUGCAUCUUACUGGCUGUCAUAAACAAAACAUUUGUCCAUAUCGUAUGCAAAUUGUUUGUUAAUUCAUUAAAUGAUCGUAUUAAGUGGAUAUGAGUUUACAAUAAAUUAAUAUGUGCUAAAACCAUUUCUUGGAAUAAAAGCAGAGAUGAUUAAGGCUGGUCUGAAUGGUCAGUGUUGGGUUUUGGCUGUGUGACACACUAACGACCCGCUCGCCGCUCCGUCACGCAAACAUUUAAUUCUGCAGGACCUUUAACUGAUCCCAUUAGCGGCUCACAGCGGCCCGCGGUCACGCAGCGCUUUCGCACAGACGCUGCCCUUGAGACUGGCAUAAUUACACCGUCGUGACGUCUGUACUUUAAUAUCUGCUGCCAUUACUCACGGACAGACAGACGCGGCUCAUUCAGACUCGACCGGGUGAUAACGGGCAGGACGCUUUCAGAUUGGCCACUUGAUGUGUCUGAAAGACAAAGAACAGACUGAAUGUUAUUUUGACUGCUGCGUGUGCGCUUCAACAAAUAAUUCACCCCAAAAUGAGCAUUAGCUGAAAGUGUGCUCACCCUCAGGCCAUUUGAAAGUUUUUGUUUCUUCAUCAGAUGUGUGUAAAUGUGUCAUUCUAUCACUGUCUCACCAAUGGACGCUCUGCGGUGAACAUCACAAUAAUCCACACCACUCCAGUCCAUCAGUUAACAUCUUGAGAAGACAGAAGCCCAAACAAACGCAUCAUUAAGACAUUUUUAUCUAUAAUAGUGUAUUCAAAGGAAUAGUUCACCCAGUAAUGAAGGUUAGCUGAAAAUGUGAUCACUUUCCAUCAUAAAGACAUUUUUAGCUAACAUAAUAACGCUUCUUCCAGUGAACAAGUGGUCUGCUCUGAAUCAGGAGAGAAAUCUGCACAGAUCAAGCAACGUUUACAAGCCAAAACAGCUCAGGACAUGGACUUUUUUACUGGAGGAAGCAUCAUUAUGGAUUGUGGACUCGUAUUUCAGUUAAAAACAUCUUCAUGAUGGAGAGCGAGCACAUUUUUUUAGCUAACCUUCUGCUCCAUGAAGUACACUGUGUGCGGGCGAAAACUCAUUAUGAGGUGAAAACGUAUUACUCCUUUCUUUCUAAAGGUACCUUAAAUAUUUGCAAUACAAAGUUUUUUCGAGGAAACGCCUCGCACAGAGCUUCAUGGUCUCUUUCAAAAGCUCAAACAAGAGCAAAGAGAGCGGAUGUAAAUUCAUAAACAGCACUGCUUUCACUCUCAUGCCAUCAUCUGCGGAUAAACACACGGAGAUGAAGAGAGGAGACGUUCUGAGCGCGGCGCUGUCGGUCUGCGUUCGGCGCUCACGCAUGUAAGGAGAGAUCAGACGUACCGCAGGACGUCGAGACGUUCUCACGUGGCGCUUCUCUUUGAGUCGGUGGUCACAGCUCCAACGUUCCUCCAAAACCCAUUAAAAAGAUGAAGGCGUCUCCUGUGGAUCUGAGCAGCCGAGAGUGACGUCGGGUCAGAGUUCGAGAUGAACAUCUGCCCUCCGUCUGUCCUCAUCAAACACUCGCGGCCGCUGACCUCCUUCAGUCUGUGCGGCUACACUUCAGUGAUUCACAUCCGGAUCCUUCGCGAGGUUUCUGUAGCUUUAGCACAAUGACUACAUUUAGAUUGAAAUGAAUGGCCAAAGAUGAGUCUUUGUUUGCUCUUUCAAGACUUCUCCAUCACAGCGUAUGUUAAAGAAGUGCUGUGUUUCUACCGCGUUAUGUCUGUGCUCAUAUUCACAGGUGUGAAAGAGCAUGCAAAAUUAACCAGAAGCCGCUCAGCCAAAGGAUAAUCAGUCUUACUUUUUGGAUUCAAAUCAGACCAACUGACCUUUUUAUGUGACUGACUUUAAAGAGUCAUUACCAGUCAUGCAGAACAAAAUUAGAUGACUAACUGUUAAAACUAGUUUACGUAACCGGCCCCUGACGUUUAUACAUAAAGAAAUCACGACAGACGUUCGAGUUCUCGUCAUCAUGUUCACUGAACUGAGCAUAAUCACAACAAACAAAAGAAAAAAAGCUAGGGAGAAAAAGGAAGUGAGUGCGUGAGUGAGAGGUUAAAUGGCGCGAGCUCGUUUUGGGCCUCCUUUAAGACACUUAAUAUUCAGUACGCUGUAAAAAAAUUCCUGUAAAUUUACAAGGAAAUUUAACAGUAAAAUGCUGUUUUCAUAUAAUAACAGUAGGUUACUGUAUUUUGCGAUGCAUUGUGGGAUAUGUUGUCCAGCAACAGUAUGACACUGUUGUUUAACAGCAUGAUACCAUAGUUUCCCUUUGUGCAUGUGCAGAGAAAGUACGACAUUUUGGUUUUUCUGCAAGAGGUAAUUUGGGAGCUCUGCCUUUUAUUGUUUUAUUUCUAAAGUGCUUAUUACCUUUUAAAAAUUAACGUUUAAACAUCCAGUUAAGCUUUCUGGAUUUAAAUUGGAUUUGUGACCGUGUUUUAAUCAGCAAGUUACCACAGGAGUGUCAGCCCUUUGUACAGACUGCCAUCAUACAACACACAACUGGUAAGAAACUUUUUUCCCCCUCUAACCCGCACGACUUAAAUUUUAUCUGAGUAAAAAAUGACUGUGGAAUGACGUUUUGUUUGUUUGUGGUUACAAUUUUAGCAUGAGGUUCAAACCGGCUAUUAUCUGCUGCUGUUAUUUGCAACCACACUUUUGGUUUUAUCUUACCGAGUGCACUUCUAAAUAUUAACAUUAUAAAGAGCCAGCAAAGCAUAAUUUGAUGAAAGGAUAGCGUGUUUUAAUCAUGGAACAGUAACCGAGUAAGACAUGAUAGCAUUGUUAGCUCGUUAGCAUAUACUCUGACUGCAUUUGAUUUAUUUAUUACCAUCACACAAUUUAUGUCACCGAAACAUGCUCCGAACUUCAUCUAAGCAAAAGAUACAUGUGUAUGAACAAAAUUCAUAAUUCUUGUAUGAUUACUGUGAACGUAUUCAAAGCGCUGCAAGCGAUUGCAAAAAUAGCAGCAGAUGGACAAAGUUUUUAUUUUAUUUUUAAACUUUACUUUUAAGCUAUCUAUUCUUUACAUUAUGUUUUCCUUAUCCUUGUAGUUCAAAGGCUGACUUUGUCAGAAGAAAAUGUUUGCCUAUUGUUUGUUCAAGAAAUCAUUCACCUAAAAAUGGUUCUCUCGUUAUUUACUCAACCUUAUGCUGUCUCAAACUCAUAGGACCUUCUCUUGGAGGACAAAUGAAGAUGUUGUCCUGGAGAACUGAUGUCUGUUUUGCCCAUAUGGAAGGCCAGUGGGAACCAAACCUUCGAGCUCCAAAAGGAACAUAAAGGGACAAACACACAUCUCAUCACCAUUAAAUGUCAUCUAUUGCAUCUUCAGAGUUUAAAUCAGCAUACGAUGUCUGCCACUCCUUCUGACCUUGAGAAACCUGCCUGUGACUCAUAGCUUGAUCCUUCUUGAUACUUUAUUGGAAUAAAUCCAUAAAAGAGGAUCAAAGCUGCAUGGAGAAAAGAGGUGUCUAAAAUAACUGGAAAAACUGCAGAAGAAGACUCAAGAUGAUGAAGAAGAACAUCAGUCCAGGAGUAUCUCAUCCUUAACUCAACCUUAUGCUGUCUCAAACCAGUAGGACUUUCUCUUAGAGGACAAAUUAAGAUAUUGGCAUAGAGAAAGGUUUGCCCAUACAAUAGAAGACAAAUGGGAACUAAACAUAAAGGUAUGAUUAAUUAAAGACACCAGUCAUUUCAUCUGAUAUAUUUUAUAAACAAUUUGUUUAAAAAAAAAACAAUAAAAAAACCAUUAGCUGGUGUUCACUAAAGCCUGAUUUGAGAGUAAAUUUGUAUUUUAUGAACAAAUAAAGACUUUAUGCACGUUGUUUGUAUGCACGCCUGUUUUAUGGAAUAUUGUAAAAGUUUAUCUAGUGUUAAUCAGAAUAAAGUAACAAAACAACUUGACUUUGUUCUCUUUUGUGAUACAGUCAAAUAGAAAAUGCA